rnacentral:misc_RNA from 1 species
GAUGAAGAACGCAGCGAAAUGCGAUAAGUAAUGUGAAUUGCAGAAUUCAGUGAAUCAUCGAAUCUUUGAACGCACAUUGCGCCCGCCAGUAUUCUGGCGGGCAUGCCUGUUCGAGCGUCAUUACAACCCUCAGGCCCCCGGGCCUGGCGUUGGGGAUCGGCGGAGCCCCCCGAGGGCACACGCCGUCCCCCAAAUGCAGUGGCGGUCCCGCCGCAGCUUCCAUCGCGUAGUAGCUAACACCUCGCGACUGGAGAGCGGCGCGGCCACGCCGUAAAACACCCAACUCUUCUGAAGUUGACCUCGAAUCAGGUAGGAAUACCCGCUGAACUUAAGCAUAUCAAUAAGCGGAGGA